AUAAAAAUAAAAUAAAAUGAUAAGCUAUAAUCCAAAAUAAAAAAUCUCUAAAUUCGAUACAUGAGUUUGAAAAGAUUUAGGUACAAUCGAUUUUAACCCGGAUUAAAUGGGGGUGUCUACAUUGGUAAAAACCCACUUUCUCUCUUUCUUCCUCCAUAUUUCUAUGCAUUUUUAUUGGAUUAUUUAUUCGGUGAGUUUGUUCUUGCAGCUAUGCAAACAGAAGCUUUGCCAGUGGUUAAUAAGUUCCAGCUGACCAAGAAUCCCCAUUCUUCGUGAGUUUCUUUUUCCCAUUUUGUUAUUUUUAGCAAUUUUGGUUAAAGUAAGUUUCUUUGCAGGGUUUAAGCCUUCAAGAUCAAUAAGUUUAAUAUUUAAUCUUAUUAUGAUCAAUCUUUUAGUCGACAAAGUGGUUGCAAGAUUUUUAUUAAGAAAAAUGUUUGCUUGCUAUAUAUUUGAGUUUUUCAGCUUUAAAAUACUUGAAAAAAUUAUUUCUUUUGUGCAUUCUAGGUACAUAUUUAAAUGUUUUGUUUCACGAUUUAGAUGGGUAGGUGGCAUGUAACUGGUUUUUGCAAAUCAUAAAUAGCAAAACAUCACUGUUAACUAUAGUGGACUUCAUUAUCUGAUGAUGUUUUACUGUUUAGUUUGAUUAUUAUUGAAUAAUGCUUCGGUUUUUCUUUUCAUAUGUCCAUACACAAUGGUGCAGGUUUCCAAAAGGGGUUCCUUGGGUCCGAGAUUCCUCAAAAUCAGUUGAAUAUAAAUAUCUUUUUUUAUUUUUUAUAAUUGAAAUUUUCAUAUUUUGAGUUCACUGUGCAUUCUAAAAUAAUCGAAAACUCUACUCUAAAAAAUACCUAUAUAAAGGUACUAAUAUUACGCUUUUGCUGGGUUUAAAUUUCUAAAAACUCUACUAUGGAAUGUCAUGGAGGAUGGAGGGAAUGAGCAUUUUUGGGGAAGAAAUUAGAAGCGCCCCAAAUUCAAAGGGAGACUUAUACGUAAAAUUGAGGUAUUGGGUGGAGUGUACUAAUGAUUCUAACCUGCAAGGAUAACAUUGCAGAUCAUGAGAAGUGGUUAAAGUGGUUUAGUUGUGAUUGAAUUCUGCAUUUUGAAGAUUCUGGUCAGAGAAGAAAAACGAAAAAAAGAUUGUGGUUUAAUAUGGUGUUGAAGAGUUUGGUUGUAUUUUCUGGUUGUGAGGUCGCUGCCAUAAGAGCAGAAAGGAUUAGAGCCCUAAACUUUGUGCUAUUCACAGUCCUUUCCCUAUGGAGUGAAUAAGACUUGCGCUAACAAAAAGGCUAGUUUCAGGCAGAGAGCAUAUCUUUUUAGGAGGCUGCUGCAAUCAAAGCAUAAAGGAUUAGAGUCCUAAACUUUGUGCUGCUCACAGUUCUCUCCCCACAGAGUGAAUGAAACUCGCGCUGAUAAAAUGGCUGCUUCAGGCAGAGAGCAUGUCUUUUUUAGGAGGCUAGUUCAUACUGUCAUGCAAGAUUAAAUGCUUCUAAUACUGUAGCAUAGUAUCUGAAUUCUGAGAAAUCUGAUGAAUUGUACAAGUAUAUGCUUAUACAUGAUAUUUAGCUAUAUCAGCCUAGCAUAAAUGCUGAAAUGUGUUCAUAACCAUUUGUUAUUAAUAAAUCUAUCAAACUUUUAUUUCUCAACUCUAUUUGAUGUUCUUAAGAUCACAUAUAGAAAAAACUAAUGGAUAUGCUUGACAAAGAUCACGGUUCGGGACAGAUGAUUAAGUACUUAGAAACGUGGAUCACUUUGAUAAUAUCAAUACUGAAAUAUUUAAAAAUAUUUAGAUCAUGGACAAGAAAUAUUGAUUUUCAAAUACUUGAUUUGAGGUUUUGGUGAUAAUUAUUUUUGUAUUAUCAGUGCUUUGCGUGUUUUGUAUAUUGGUUGUUUAUAAUUUUUGAAAUUGUUAAUAAAGAGGCUAAGGAUAGUGUGUUUUGUUAUUUUUAGAUGAUUUAGCUUUGUUGUCAUUUUUUUUUAUGAAUCAGUAUUGAUAAUUUUUGAACCUACGGCAACGCGCAAGUAUCAUACUAGUAAUAUAAUAAGCUUUGACAAACAAUAUUUUAAUCCGA